AGGGGGUAGUGAGGUGGCACAAGCUGCCCAUAGAAGCUGGGCAUGUCCCAUCCCUGAAGGCAUUCAAGGCCUAUGAUUCUGUGAUCAAAGGAAGGGUGAAAGGAAAAUUCUAAGCUCUACUGAAAUCUUGGCAUACACUUCCCAGGAUGGAAACCAGUCCUAGUCUGAAGUGUCACAGAAUGAACGGGGAAGAUGCAGGAGAAGGUACUUUUGUAAGAUUGGGCCCUCAAGUAACCCUGGUGAUUGCUUUCUCCCUUGGAAGAAAACUUCUGUGAAAAUAAAUUGCUCAAUCUACAAUUUGUCCCUAUAGUGUUCCACUGUUUACGGAUCAUUUACAACACUCUCGUGAUCACCUUGCUA
rnacentral:lncRNA from 1 species